CCUACGGGAGGCAGCAGUGGGGAAUAUUGCACAAUGGGGGAAAGCCUGAUGCAGCGAUGCCGCGUGAAGGAAGAAGUCUUUCGGUAUGUAAACCUCUAUCAGAAGGGAAGAAAAUGACGGUACUUGACUAAGAAGCCCAGGCUAACUCCGUGCCAGCAGCCGCGGGAAUACGUAGGGGGCAAGCGUUAGCCGGAUUUACUGGGUGUAAAGGGAGCGUAGGCGGUGAUGCAAGUCAGAAGUGAAAGCCCGGGGCUCAACUGCGGGACUGCUUUUGAGACUGUAAGACUAGAGUGCAGGAGAGGUAAGUGGAAUUCCUAGUGUAGCGGUGAAAUGCGUAGAUAUUAGGAAGAACACCGGUGGCGAAGGCGGCUUACUGGACUGUAAAUGACGCUGAGGCUCGAAAGCGUGGGGAGCAAACAGGAUUAGAUACCCCUGUAGUC
rnacentral:rRNA from 1 species